AUUGAACGCUAGCGGGAUGCUUUACACAUGCAAGUCGAACGAGUGGCGGACGGGUGAGUAAUAUAUUGGAACGCGCCCAGUAGCGGGGGAUACCUACUCGAAAGCGUGGCUAAUACCGCAUACUAUUGUAUCGGCCGCUAUCGGAUUAGCUAGUUGGGGGGGUAAAGGCUCACAAAGGCAACGAUCCGUAGCUGGUUUGACAGGACGACCAGCCACACUGGGACUGAGACACGGCCCAGACUCCUACGGGAGGCAGCAGUGGGGAAUUUUGGACAAUGGAGGAAACCCUGAUCCAGCCAUCCCGCGUGUAUGAGAAGGCCUUCGGGUUGUAAAGUACUUUUGGCAGAGAAGCGGUAUCUGCAGAAUAAGCACCGGCUAACUACGUGCCAGCAGCCGCGGUAAUAC
rnacentral:rRNA from 1 species